rnacentral:rRNA from 1 species
UGGUGGAGUGAUUUGUCUGGUUAAUUCCGUUAACGAACGAGACCUCAGCCUACUAAAUAGUUGGCCGAACCUUUCGGUUCGCGUCAGCUUCUUAGAGGGACUUUCGGUUUCUAGCCGAAGGAAGUUUGAGGCAAUAACA